ACCUCGGUAGCUUAGUUGGUAGACCAACAGGGCGUAAACCUGGGAGCUGAGAUCGUAUCUCAGUCGAGGUU